rnacentral:rRNA from 2 species
GAGUGAUCGAAAGAUGAAAAGCACUUUGAAAAGAGAGUUAAACAGCACGUGAAAUUGUUGAAAGGGAAGCGCUUGCGACCAGACUCGCCCUCGGGGUUCAGCCGGCACUCGUGCCGGUGUACUUCCCCGGGGGCGGGCCAGCGUCAGCUUGGGCGGCCGGUCAAAGGCCUCCGGAAUGUAGUGCCCCCCGGGGCACCUUAUAGCCGGAGGUGCAAUGCGGCCAGCCUGGGCUGAGGAACGCGCUUCGGCACGGACGCUGGCAUAAUGGUCGCAAACGACCC